rnacentral:lncRNA from 1 species
CCACAGCUGGCUUUGUCCAUCAACAUUAAAUUUUACUCUUAGAUACUUUAUUUAACCUUUUAUUAAACAAACCAAAUUCAAAUAUUUUUACAAUGCCUUACUAGAGGGUUGCCUCAUCUGUAUCAUUUCUGGAGUGGAAGAAAUGGCUUCAGGUACAUGACUGAAGUUUAGCCAUGUCCCAUCAUAAAUGCUCCAACACCACCAGAGACAGCUGCAAUAACGAGAAGGGAAAUGUUAGAGAAGAGAUCCAGGCAAC